UACCCUUUCAGCCCUUAUCUGAUUGACGUGUAUGAACAUAUGAACAUAUAUGUCCUUCAGUAGACUUUGGGAGAGUUUUUUUUUCACUCAUCUGUGCCUUUUUAAUGAUGGUUUAUGUGGCGUUCAUUUACCCUUUAAUUGCUUUUCUGUGUGAAGUAUAUUUGAACGUAUGUAUUAACCGAUUAUUGCAUCUUAAACGGUCCCUUGUUUCAGGUGCCCUUUAUUUGUUUGCUUACAUCCAUGAGGGUCCAUUGAAUGAUUACUUGUAUUGGCUUAAGUUACCCUUGAACUCUUAAUCUGUGUUUGGCCUCUUUGAUGAUCUCUUUUAUUACGUUGCCCUUUAAUUCCUUAUCUGUGUGAAGUACCUGUGCACAUAUGUGUCGCGAUAGAUGUUUUUGUUUGCACUGAUUCGUUCGUUGAAUACGUACCUGCAUUGGUUUAAGUCAUCCUUUAAUUCCGGAUGGGCUUGAAGCUCCUUUUU